rnacentral:rRNA from 1 species
UACGUAGGGGGCAAGCGUUGUCCGGAAUCAUUGGGCGUAAAGCGCGCGUAGGCGGCCCGGUAAGUCCGUUGUGAAAGUCAAAGUCUCAACCUUUGAAUGCCGACGGAUACUGCCGGGCUAGAGUACGGAAGAGGCGAGUGGAAUUCCUGGUGUAGCGGUGGAAUGCGCAGAUAUCAGGAGGAACACCGGUGGCGAAGGCGGGUCUCUGGGCAGUAACUGACGCUGAGGAGCGAAAGCGUGGGGAGCGAACAGG